rnacentral:rRNA from 1 species
CCACGCGACCCCAGGUCAGGCGGGGCUACCCGCUGAGUUUAAGCAUAUCAAUAAGCGGA